rnacentral:rRNA from 1 species
CCCUUAUGUCCAGGGCUUCACACAUGCUACAAUGGCCGGUACAAAGGGCUGCGAUGCCGCGAGGUUAAGCGAAUCCUUAAAAGCCGGUCUCAGUUCGGAUCGGGGUCUGCAACUCGACCCCGUGAAGUCGGAGUCGCUAGUAAUCGCAGAUCAGCAACGCUGCGGUGAAUACGUUCCCGGGCCUUGUACACACCGCCCGUCACGUCAUGAAAGUCGGUAACACCCGAAGCCAGUGGCCUAACCCUCGGGAGGGAGCUGUCGAAGGUGGGAUCGGCGAUUGGGACGAAGUCGUAACAAGGUAGCCGUACCGGAAGGUGCGGCUGGAUCACCUCCUUUCUAAGGAG